GGGAUAUUGGACAAUGGGCGCAAGCCUGAUCCAGCCAUGCCGCGUGUGUGAAGAAGGCCUUCGGGUUGUAAAGCACUUUUGUACGGGAAGAAAAGCAUCCGGUUAAUACCCGGGUGUCAUGACGGUACCGUAAGACUAAGCACCGGCUAACUUCGUGCCAGCAGCCGCGGUAAUACGAAGGGUGCAAGCGUUACUCGGAAUUACUGGGCGUAAAGCGUGCGUAGGUGGUUUGUUAAGUCUGAUGUGAAAGCCCUGGGCUCAACCUGGGAAUUGCAUUGGAUACUGGCAGUCUAGAGUGCGGUAGAGUGUAGCGGAAUUCCCGGUGUAGCAGUGGAAUGCGUAGAGAUCGGGAGGAACAUCUGUGGCGAAGGCGGCCACCUGGACCAGCACUGACACUGAGGCACGAAAGCGUGGGGAGCAAAC
rnacentral:rRNA from 1 species